UCAAACCCCAAGCAGUAUACCAUAGCCAUCAUAGGACAGGCCCUAUGGUGGCAAAGGUAAACCAAUGCUAGUCACUAGCAUAAAAAAGCCAAUAGAUAACUAAAAAACAACAAUGAAUCAACCAACAGAUUGGCUUGAAAUCAGUCAUUACAAAACAGCAGCAGCCAAAACCUGUAACAAGGAGCAGAUGCAGAAAGAAACAGCAAGGCCCCAACCAUAAG
rnacentral:lncRNA from 1 species